CCUACGGGGGGCAGCAGUGAGGAAUAUUGGUCAAUGGGCGCGAGCCUGAACCAGCCAAGUCGCGUGAGGGAUGACGGUCCUACGGAUUGUACACCUCUUUUGCCGUUGAGCACGCGUGCGUUCGUGCCCGCGCGUCGAGAGUACCCGGCGAACAAGCCUCGGCUACCUCCGUGCCAGCCGCCGCGGUACUACGGCGGCUUCGCGCGUUCUCCGUCUUUCUUGGGUUUACCGGUU
rnacentral:rRNA from 1 species